GGAGGGGGGGGCUAUAAUGCAGUCGAACGAGAUUAAGGGGCUUGCUCCUUAUGAAAGUGGCGCACGGGUGCGUAACGCGUAUGCAACCUACCUCAAUCAGGGGGAUAGCCCGAAGAAAUUCGGAUUAACACCGCAUAAAAACACAGGAUAGCAUUAUCUAAUGUUCAAAUAUUUAUAGGAUUGAGAUGGGCAUGCGUGUCAUUAGCUAGUUGGCGGGGUAACGGCCCACCAAGGCGACGAUGACUAGGGGAUCUGAGAGGAUGACCCCCCACACUGGUACUGAGACACGGACCAGACUCCUACGGGAGGCAGCAGUAAGGAAUAUUGGUCAAUGGAGGCAACUCUGAACCAGCCAUGCCGCGUGCAGGAAGACAGCCCUCUGGGUCGUAAACUGCUUUUAUUCGGGAAUAAACCUAUUUACGUGUAGAUAGCUGAAUGUACCGAAGGAAUAAGGAUCGGCUAACUCCGUGCCAGCAGCCGCGGUAAUACGGAGGAUCCAAGCGUUAUCCGGAUUUAUUGGGUUUAAAGGGUGCGUAGGCGGCUUAUUAAGUCAGGGGUGAAAGACGGUGGCUCAACCAUCGCAGUGCCUUUGAUACUGAUGAGCUUGAAUGAACUAGAGGUAGGCGGAAUGUGACAAGUAGCGGUGAAAUGCAUAGAUAUGUCACAGAACACCGAUUGCGAAGGCAGCUUACUAUGGUUUUAUUGACGCUGAUGCACGAAAGCGUGGGGAUCAAACAGGAUUAGAUACCCUGGUAGUCCACGCCCUAAACGAUGAAUACUCGCUGUUAGCGAUAUACAGUUAGCGGCUAAGCGAAAGCGUUAAGUAUUCCACCUGGGGAGUACGCCCGCAAGGUGAAACUCAAAGGAAUUGACGGGGCCCGCACAAGCGGAGAGCAUGUGGUUUAUUCGAUGAUACACGAGGAACCUUACCCGGGCUUGAAAGUAGUGAUGAUCUCAGAUAGAUCAGUGAGCAUCACACGAACUAGUGCUGCAUGCUGUCGUCAGCUCGUGCCGUGAGGUGUUGGGUUAAGUCCCGCAACGAGCGCAACCCCUAUGUUUAGUUGCCAGCAC
rnacentral:rRNA from 1 species